CCUACGGGAGGCAGCAGUGAGGAAUAUUGGUCAAUGGCCGGAAGGCUGAACCAGCCAUGCCGCGUGAAGGUCAGUGCCCUAUGGGCGUUAAACUUCUUUUGUGCGGGAGCAAUAAUGGUCACGUGUGGCCAGACGAGAGUACCGUACGACUCAGCAUCGGCUAACUCCGUGCCAGCAGCCGCGGUAAUACGGGGGAUGCAAGCGUUAUCCGGAUUUAUUGGGUUUAAAGGGUGCGUAGGCUGUGAGGUAAGUCAGCGGUGAAAUGCCCCCGCUCAACGGGGUGAAGUGCCCGUGAUACUGCCGUGCUGGAAUGCGGAUGCCGUGGGAGGAAUGUGUGGUGUAGCGGUGAAAUGCAUAGAUAUCACACAGAACACCGAUUGCGAAGGCAUCUCACGAAUCCGCGAUUGACGCUGAUGCACGAAAGCGUGGGUAUCAAACAGGAUUAGAUACCCGGGUAGUC
rnacentral:rRNA from 1 species